GUUCCGAAGCCCCCGCCGAAGACCCCUUGGAACUGGUGUCUGAGAUGGGCGAAUUCAGCAACGAGGACAUCUGCCGCUACAUCGACCGCAGCUUCUCCUUCUGGAAGGAGAAGGAGGCAGAGCUGUUUGACAUCUGAGCAGCGGAAUUCGGAAUUCGCAGUUGACCGUGGAGCGUCUUAACGUGGGCCUGGACGCCUGUCUGACGCCCUCCAGAGGCGUGAAGCAGCGGGAAGAACCCAGGAGUGUGGCCUUGAGCAGCCUGGAGGGCCCAGGACCAGGCUGCCUCAGCCUCUGAGGUCUCAUGGAGGAGGAGGAGGAGGCCUGGCUGGCCAGCAUGCCCGCCUGGAGGCGGGACCUCCUGCGGAAGAAGCUGGAAGAAGAGAGGGAGCAGAAGCGGUGAGUGCAGGGCUGGCCCCAACCUGCCACCCUUACCCCCACCCAAGUCACAGAGGGUCGUCCCUUCAUCCAGGCCAACUUAAGUGCACCCUCCUGUCUCUUGGCCCUUGUAGCACAGCCUCCUUCCUCCCUGUAAUAUCCCAGACUGCUGUCCCCCAGAAUCUCUCUUUCAUGCUCUGAGAACUUUGUUCCCGGUUACUCAGUCCCUGCCUCCUAUUAACCUGGCCUUUUCUACCCUUCAGUGAACCUAACCCCAGUAUCAAUCACCUUGAUUGUCUGGCCCUUAGAACGUGUUUUCUGCCCCUAGUAAUUUCACCCAGCCCAGUGCUGUCCGAUAGAAAUAUAAUGAGAGCCACAGAUGUGAUUUAAAAUUUUCUAGUAGCCACAGUGAAAAUGUAGAAGGAUAUAGGUGAGCUUAGUUUUAGUACUAUUUGACACAAAAU